UACGGGGGGAGCAAGCGUUGUUCGGAUUUACUGGGCGUAAAGGGCGGGUAGGCGGCCACCGCAAGUCGACUGUGAAAUCUCCGGGCUUAACUCGGAAAGGUCAACUGAUACUGUGCGACUAGAGUGCGGAAGGGGCAACUGGAAUUCUCGGUGUAGCGGUGAAAUGCGUAGAUAUCGAGAGGAACACCUGCGGCGAAGGCGGGUUGCUGGGCCGACACUGACGCUGAUGCGCGAAAGCCAGGGGAGCGAACGGG
rnacentral:rRNA from 1 species